rnacentral:lncRNA from 1 species
CACAAAUGUACACUAGAAAAACGGCACUUGUCGUCCUCAAAUUAUGUUACAUUUAAAAUACAAAGUGGAGAGACAUCAUAAUUUUACACCCAUCGUUUCCGACCAAUUGGAAACAUCAGUCGGUCCGUUAAUCUCUGCCUAUGUUAGGUUUCAUGUUUCAAGCUAAUGGCCGUUCUAUCCGCUCGAUUCAUUUCUGUGAGAAAUCAAGAGGGAAAAGGCUCAGUAUGACGUAAACAGAUGUUCUCAGUGUCUAAACACUGAUUCAAAACCUGUCACAAUUAACAAAUAUCUUAAAUGUUUUCACGCAGUCUGUCAUUUGGCGAAUUUAGCGUGUUUCGGUCGAUACGGAGGCGAUUUCGAUGAAUCCCUGCUGCACUACAGUAUGUGCACGAGGCCUACAACUUAACAGUGGGUUGCAUGUUUAGGGGCCUCAAACAGGGAGGAGACCAUGAACCUCAACGAGAAGAAGCCCAACAAGUGGUGGACUGAACCGGACACGUUUGCCAUGCUGGCCCUCAUAGAGCAGAUGGGUCUGGUACACGAGCUGGAUAAGAAGCGUCAGCGCAACGAAUCCCUCUUCCGACACCUCAGGCUGAGUCUGGCAAAGCGGGGCAUCCACUUCACUGUCACCCAAAUCCGAAACCGUUGGAAGAGCCUCAAACACAAGUACCGUAAGAUCAAACUGGCCAGCUACAGAAGUCCAGCCGCUCGCCUGUCUGCCGUCGAGUCUUUCCGUUACUUCCAUAUGCUGGAUCACAUGUUGGUGCGCAGACCGAAGGUGGGAGGCAGGGAGGACGACCUCACAGAUGGUCACGCCCUGCUUGGACGGUCACUCGCAGACCUGGAUGACCAUGCAGACAGUCAUUGGCCUGAAGGCCUAAUCCCUAAAUCUGAGCCUGAGAGCAUGUCUUCUAAACUUGAACCUGAUGUUGACGAGAGUCUGAAUCCAGAUCAUGUGGCUGGUUCUGAGCCUCCAAGCUGGGCCGUAGGACCAGAUGAAGUUAUGACCCUGGGCUUGUCAGGAGAAUACCUCUAUGCAGUGAAGACCGAACCACCAUCCCUAUGCACUCCCAACAGUACAGAAAGUACAAGAGAUGCCAUUGACUGCAGCCACAAUGAUUUCCCAGGAACUUCUGAAGAGACUAGCAGCCUCAUCCUCCAGCAGCUAACCAUCCUGAACCACCGGCUUGGAGAACAGCUGGCUGAGCAGAGAGCCUUCCACUGCAGCAUGCUAGGAAUGAUGGAUCGCCAGAUCCAGGUCCUGGAGCAGCUCUCCAAUUUCACAAGGAACCACCAACCCAAGCUUGAGACCCCGGGCACGGACUCUUCAGUUAGUCCGAACGUGCAUGAAGCUCAAACGCAGACUCUUGAGCCAUAUCCCACGUUCCUCAUGCCUAAAAGCGAACCAACAGCUGCUCCUUGGAAGGUCUCUCUCUUAGAAGUCCACAAGAGGUCACCUUCUGAGUUGGGCAGUGACACUGAGACUCCUCAAACCUUGGAGGGUUGCAAAGAAAACACUUCUAGCCCACCUUCUUUAGAGAUUUUACCCUCAACCAAGAACGUAAUUGUGCAGAAUGGAUUGUGUAAGCACGAUUGAGUGCUGUUUAUUUGGGACGUUAUGCAUUCAGUAGGAACUACUAAAGUAUUUUGUCCUGUAGAUGUUUCAGGAGCUUGAUCUGAUCUGAAAUCAUCAACAUAUGCAUUUUUCAGUUUCAUAGGAAAGUAUUCAGUGCUCUGAUGUUUUAAUCAGUAACACUUUUGAGAGAUAGAACAAUAGACUUGUUAUUUAUUUACUUUGGUUUGAUUGCGAACUAACACUCGAUGCGAAUCUUAGACGGUAAGUAACUCAGCAGUGACUGUUUCAAAAUUGCAGUUCGGACCAAGGUAGCUUUAUGUCUGUAAUCAUCUUGCAUUAUCUGAGAGAAAAAAGUGGGUUAUUGGUAAGCUUAAAGUUGUGUAAAACUAUCAGUUUCUUCCAGUUAGGUUUGGGACACACUUUAAGGCUGAUUUGAACACAAGAAGGUGUAUUGUCAUGAAUUUCAUCAUCUAAUUCGAACUCCUGUGUUAAAGUAUGAACUUCACUGUUAAUUUCAACUGCUUGACUCUUAAUGUAAAGUAAUAGUUCACUUUUAUGUGUUAUAUUUUUGACAUGCAAAAUGGAUCAGGGUUGGGUUAGUUGUAACGCGACUAAUUCCAUUAAUCUUACUAGUGUUCAUACAGGGUAUUACGAAAUUACUUUUACAUUAAACUAUGGGUACUGUGUCAAAAGUGUGUGGGUAAAAACAAUCAAAUGGAAGGGGGAAAAUGUCAGUAAAUCCUACUUAAGUUGUAUUGAAAUGGUUGGACAAGUCUCCUAUGCUCACCAUGGCUGUAUUUAUUUGAUUAAAAAUACAGUAAAACGGUAAUAUUGUAAAAUAUUGUUACAAUAACCUCUAAUAUGAGGGAGAAUAAAUGAACUUUACAGUCGUUUGGAUCAGCG